CAGGGCGCAUCCCUCUCCAGGGUUGAGGCCCAAGAGCAGAGCCGAGCACCCCACCCAGGUCCCACCUGAGACCCCUGAAGGGGCAGAAAAGAGAGAAACCACCACGAGGAGACCGGACAGCGAGCCAGGGACCCGCCGGAGGACGUUUAAGGGGUUUGAGGAGACUGUUGCGUUGCCCCUAAUCAGUUGAGAGCUUUGGGUAACGAGGGGAUGAAAAGAUCUGGCAAAUACUUCUCUAAGUGUGGGAGGGUGAGGCUGGCGCGGCACUGUGCAUUCAGGUGAGCCAUCCAGCACGCAACAAACAGGCGUUGUAAUUCUUAAAACCACCCACCUGCAUUCCAGACAAAGGACCCAGAAGAAGAGGUGACUGCUUCCCCUGCUCCCAUCCCUCCCCCUGCCCAGCAAUGUGCUGGUAAAUAAAUGUUGAACAACCAGAUCUGGAGGCGGGAGAUCUCAGCUGUAACAAAAACCAGUUUAUGUGGUGCCAGUGUUCCCACCGACCCACGGCAGAGCUGGGAAGAGAUGCGUGCACCAGCUCUUGGGCCUGUAAGGGCCAGCCCCGGCACACCUCUGCGUCAGCUCUUUGUCAGAUGCCUUCAGAAUGCGGCCAUAAUUCAAGGUGCACAAACAACCGCAGCUCUUUCUGUCCUGUUCCCACUUGCUGCCAGUCCUCUGUCUACUAUCAAAUGUCCCCGAGGAGAGAACCUGUCACCAUUGUCCUUUUAGGGGAAAGCUCUCCUUGGAGGCUAUCUCGGAAGCCACUGAGCAGCCCAUAGGCUGGCUACCUCUGAGCCAGGUGUCCUCUCCUGCUCCACCUGUGGCUAGGAUGGACGGCUCACAUGCUAGACAACAUGGUCACCCAUGCUGAAGAAACAGACUGCGUUGCUACCUGCUUGGCGGGUUGUGGUCGGGGCGGCCUCUUUCGAAAGGAGUCUGUAAGCACGACAGGCUUUCAAGCGGUGGUCUCUCUGACAUGCUGUUCUCAGCUCUUCAGUGAGAUCCUCUCGGCCACUACACAGAGCUUUGGGACAGCUUCUCCUCCACAUACCCCAAGGAACAUCUUGGGUAGAUGCCAACAACUGCAAACAGGAGAAUGGACAGGUUAGGACUGGAUAGGAUUCAAAAGCCCCUAAUUUAGGGGGAGAAACCCUAAGUUAGUACUUAAGUUCAGUGAACAUUUAUCAAGUGCCGUUGUUUCAAACCAAUAGCGAUGAUUGGAGAGUAAGGAAAUCAUGUCAUAGGAGGAUGUCAUAGACGAUCCAGGAGAAGGUGUUCCAGACUACACUCAAUCCAAACUCCACAGAUUCUGCUUUCCUAAUCUGAGAAGUAGAACGGCGUGACUCAGCUCUGCCGAGAACACUUCUAUAUUGGUAGAAGCGUGCCCCUUGCCUCAAUGUGCUGGGGUGGGAGUGGGGUCGAGGGGAACUAUUCUCAACAACGUGAGGGACACAGAGUCAAUGCUGACUGGCUCACGGAGACACUUGAAAUCUUCUUUUACACAGUGGAAGCCAUCCCUUUUGUUAAUUCUGGAGAUAGUUGAUGUAUUCCCACGAUGGAUGCACUACCCGAUUCUCCCAGCUUUGGAUAUGUGGCUGCGCUACAACAAACAAUAACUAUUUUGACAAGAUUUUCAAUAUUGUAGACCAUUAAAUAAUCCUCUCUAGACCAGCAAAGCUGCUUGACUGUUAGCAAGAUCGUAUCACGUAAAGUGAUAUAUGUUACAUCAACCAUAUACACCUACAGAAGAAAAGAGAGCGAAGGGGAAGGAGCGAGAAUGAACAGUUGAAACUGCACAGGAAAAUUCUGAUGGGAGACUUGAUUCUACUUUCAUUCAGUCUCUUAGUGCUUCUUCUGUCGAGAGCAUCUAACCCCACAGUGUGUGCAUCCAGUGUUUACAGGUGCUAGUGUCUCACCUGUGGAGGCUGAAAGGUCAAAACGACAAGGAGAAAGCAGUCUGGUUUCAACCCACUCCUUUUGUAAACAGAGGAGCAGACUAGGAUUCGGAACUGAUGAUCACUCGUACCCAAGAACAGCGCAUGGUAAAACCAGAAGGCCCACAGUGCAUACGGCUGGGGAGCAUUCUGGAGAAGACAGGUGGAGGAAAUACUAAGGUCAGCCUUGAUGAUCGACCCGUGGCUUAGCGAAGGCUGCCUCGGAGCAGAAGUGAUAUCAGUUUACCUAUCUAUUAAAUCACCAUCAAAAAAAGAAUAUCUCUAUUGAACCAAGGCACCAAUCACAAGAGUGAGAUUACUUUUCUUUAAAGAACACAAGUGAUUUUCAAGGACAGGGGCAAUAAGGAAGGGAUAAGGAUUGUGGGUGAUAGCCUCUGAUGCUCAGAUGCUUGGUCUCAGGCCACGGUGACCACCAAUGAACUGAUGGAUCUGCAUCUCGAGCAACAGCAAGAUAUUAUGGAGGAGGUCUUCUCUGCAGAGGAGAAAAAGGCGGAGGAAACUCUCACCUCCAAUGAGAUCAGGGAGAUGUGUAAAAUGUGGGAAACAGUGCAAUUUUGUAGAAAAGCACCACCUGAAUAAGGCUGUAGCAAUGAGAGCAAUGAAUGUUUAACGACAAUGUGGUAUCACGUUUCCACGAAAUCCUCAAAAGGAGGCAAAAGCAAGUGUCACUGAAUAGGUUCCUUGUUAAAGCUGCACCAAAAGAAAAAGAUUCCAUUGAGCCAAAAGACAGCAGUGAUUCCGUUAGUGAUAGUGAAAGUCGCCCUACACAAUAACUCCCCUCUCGUCUCCUUCACACCAGCCAUGAAGGUUUUCAAAGGUUUCUAGAUCUACUCCACAUCUCAUUUUUCUAUGAUCCAGGAAAAUUUCUAAUCAGUUAUCAGAGAAUCAUAGAGAACGCCAGAACGUUAUGUCAAGUAACAAUUAUGUAUUUUAGAAAGAUAACCUUUUCAAUUUAAGGAGCAUGUGCAGGCUUCCAAUGUCCACCCACUCAUAGGAAAAAAGAGUGCGACCACCUUGAGGACUGGGCCAUGUCUUUUUCAUCUUUGCAUCCCUAACAAGUAACAAUACUUGACCUUUGUUAGCAAUCAAUAAAAGUCUACCAACUGACUGAUUAACCAAGUCUUUUUUUUUUUUUUACUUGAUUAAACCAUUAAAAAAUCUAAACCAAUGCUAUUCAAAGUAGCUAGCCCUUAAACUGUUGGUUUAUAAUGUGAUACGGAGUUUGAGCAGAAUGUGUAAAAGAACAGCUUCCUUUUUUGAGAAAGUCUUGCUAUGAAAAAACUGCUGCUUUAGUGACACAGCUGAUGUAUAUAGUCUUGCCCCCCUUUGAUCCAAACACUUGAGAGUCAGAAAAAGCCAUUUUCAUAAAGAAAAGGAAGAUGCUGAGGAAUGGAUGGUUAAAGUUAACUUUAGGGUCUUCAUCCAUCUUUAGGACCAUACAUACAUAUAUUUACAGAUCCCCAAAAUGACUUAAAAUAAAGGCACCUAUUUUAACUGGUUAAAAAAAAAAAUAAAGACACAGGGCAUUAAAAAGU